rnacentral:lncRNA from 1 species
GAACUACUUCUAUACUGCAUAUUUUUAAUGAAAAAAAUGAUAAACUAUAUUCAAUUUACAUCAAAACAUAUGGUACACAAUAUAUAGCAAUAAAGCUUAUAAGAUCAAGGAAAUUAACCCAAAUCAGAAAAUUAUAUAUAUAGAAGCGUAACAAAUUUAAAACAAAGUUAAUGCGAUUUCGCGGUGUUUUCUCCCAUGAUGCAAGUGGAAUCAGCAGCAAGCACCACAAGAGGUGAAAGUAGAGGAAUAGGAUCCUUGCCGGUGAAGAAGGAAUUGAAUGAAGCUGAAGCUGAAGAGGAAGAAGAGGAGGAAGAAGCUGAACCUGAUGCACCAAUUGGUGAGAAGUUAUUAUUAUUAUUAUGAUUAUUAUUAUAAGAAGGCUUUAUUUGAAGUGGACAAGGAGCUCUCUUUUGUAGCCUACUCAUGCACCUAUUAUAUUCAAGCUCUUCCCUGUGACUAUAUAUUUGAAAACCUGGAAACUGAUCAACCACAGAAGAGUCGUUCGUGUUCAUCUUCAUCCCCAGCACUAGUAACUCUCUUCACUUGGCCCUUUUUUGUUUAAUGGGACUAAGAAUUAAUAGAGUAUGAAAAUAGAUAGGGCUAGACGAUUAGAUAUGUUGAGAAAUAGAGGUUAGAUAUGAAAAAAGGAAAUGAAUAUUGAAGUGGAUUUCAUUUGCUUUUUGAUUAGCACUACUGCCUUUCCCCUAAUGGCCAUUAGCAUGUGAUGUUUGUGUAAUUAGAGAUUAGACCCUGAGG